rnacentral:rRNA from 1 species
CCUACGGGAGGCAGCAGUGGGGAAUCUUGGACAAUGGGCGCAAGCCUGAUCCAGCCAUGCCGCGUGAGUGAUGAAGGCCUUAGGGUCGUAAAGCUCUUUCGCCAGAGAUGAUAAUGACAGUAUCUGGUAAAGAAACCCCGGCUAACUCCGUGCCAGCAGCCGCGGUAAUACGGAGGGGGUUAGCGUUGUUCGGAAUUACUGGGCGUAAAGCGUACGUAGGCGGAUUAGUCAGUCAGAGGUGAAAUCCCAGGGCUCAACCCUGGAACUGCCUUUGAUACUGCUAGUCUUGAGUUCGAGAGAGGUGAGUGGAAUUCCAAGUGUAGAGGUGAAAUUCGUAGAUAUUUGGAGGAACACCAGUGGCGAAGGCGGCUCACUGGCUCGAUACUGACGCUGAGGUACGAAAGUGUGGGGAGCAAACAGGAUUAGAUACCCUUGUAGUC